rnacentral:rRNA from 1 species
ACCCCAGCCCAGGCAAGGGUACCCGCCGAGUUUAAGCAUAUCAAUAAGCGGAGGAAAAG